CGGAGACGCUGGCGGCGUGCCUAACACAUGCAAGUCGAGCGGAGGGGAUAGGAGUUUACUUCUUGAACCUUAGCGGCGGACGGGUGAUUAACACGUGGGUAAUCUGCCCUUGAGAGGGGGAUAACAGGUCGAAAGGCCUGCUAAUACCGCAUAACGCUAAGAAGCUGCAUGGCAUCUUACCCAAAGGUUAAUUCCGCUCAAGGAUGACCCCGCGGCCCAUUAACUAGUUGGUGAGGUAAAGGCUCACCAAGGCAACGAUGGGUAGCCGGCCUGAGAGGGUGGUCGGCCACACUGGGACUGAGACACGGCCCAGACUCCUACGGGAGGCAGCAGUGGGGAAUAUUGCGCAAUGGGGGAAACCCUGACGCAGCGACGCCGCGUGAGCGAUGAAGGCCUUCGGGUUGUAAAGCUCUGUCUUCCCUGACGAUAAUGACGGUAAGGGAGGAGGAAGCCACGGCUAACUACGUGCCAGCAGCCGCGGUAAUACGUAGGUGGCAAGCGUUGUCCGGAAUUAUUGGGCGUAAAGGGUGCGUAGGCGGCUCUUUAAGUGGGAUGUGAAAUCCCUAGGCUCAACCUAGGAACUGCAUUCCAAACUGGAGAGCUAGAGUGCAUGAGAGGAAAGCGGAAUUCCCAGUGUAGCGGUGAAAUGCGUAGAGAUUGCGAGGAACACCAGUGGCGAAGGCGGCUUUCUGGACUGUAACUGACGCUGAGGCACGAAAGCGUGAGGAGCAAACAGGAUUAGAUACCCUGGUAGUCCACGCUGUAAACGAUGGGUACUAGGUGUAGGGGGCGAAGCCCUCUGUGCCGCAGCUAACGCAUUAAGUACCCCGCCUGGGGAGUACGG
rnacentral:rRNA from 1 species